GAUGAACGCUGGCGGCGUGCCUAAUACAUGCAAGUCGAGCGAACGGACGAGAAACUUGCUUCUCUGAUGUUAGCGGCUGACGGGUGAGUAACACGUGGAUAACCUACCUAUAAGACUGGGAUAACUUCGGGAAACCGUAGCUAGUACCGGAUAAUAUUUUGAACCGCAUGGUUCAAAAGUGAAAGACGGUCUUGCUGUCACUUAUAGAUGGAUCCGCGCUGCAUUAGCUAGUUGGUAAGGUAACGGCUUACCAAGGCAACGAUGCAUAGCCGACCUGAGAGGGUGAUAGGACACACUGGAACUGAGACACGGUACAGACUCCUACGGGAGGACGCAGUAGGGAAUCUUACGCAAUGGGCGAAAGCCUGACGGAGCAACGCCGCGUGAGUGAUGAAGGUCUUCGGAUCGUAAAACUCUGUUAUUAGGGAAGAACAUAUGUGUAAGUAACUGUGCACAUCUUGACGGUACCUAAUCAGAAAGCCACGGCUAACUACGUG
rnacentral:rRNA from 1 species